rnacentral:ribozyme from 13 species
UGCAAAAAAAAAAAAAAAAAAAAAAAAAAAAAAAAAAAAA